rnacentral:rRNA from 1 species
GAUGAACGCUGGCGGCGUGCCUAAUACAUGCAAGUCGAGCGAACAGACGAGGAGCUUGCUCCUCUGACGUUAGCGGCGGACGGGUGAGUAACACGUGGAUAACCUACCUAUAAGACUUGGAUAACUUCGGGAAACCGGAGCUAAUACCGGAUAAUAUAUUGAACCGCAUGGUUCAAUAGUGAAAGACGGUUUUGCUGUCACUUAUAGAUGGAUCCGCGCCGCAUUAGCUAGUUGGUAAGGUAACGGCUUACCAAGGCAACGAGGCGUAGCCGACCUGAGAGGGUGAUCGGCCACACUGGAACUGAGACACGGUCCAGACUCCUACGGGAGGCAGCAGUAGGGAAUCUUCCGCAAUGGGCGAAAGCUUGACGGAGCAACGCCGCGUGAGUGAUGAAGGUCUUCGGAUCGUAAAACUCUGUUAUUAGGGAAGAACAAAUGUGUAAGUAACUAUGCACGUCUUGACGGUACCUAAUCAGAAAGCCACGGCUAACUACGUG